UGCAGACAACUACUGAAAUUUUAAUAGAUCCUAGCGUUAUUAUUUUGUAUGUUGAGAUAGAUUUGAACGAAAUCUGGAAUGCAGAUUUGUCAAACAGCAGUUCCGUGGCUUUUAAAAAUAAAUCUGCCAAAAUUGAGUUAGAGAUUAACAAUAGCCUUGGCAGUGGGAGCAAUGUGUCUAUCUACUACAACUCCAGUAAAGUCAUAUCUUACAGUAAUGGAAGCAUUCACGUCCUGUGUGAGGUAUAUUAUUCCAUAUCCCAUGUCCACGUGACAGGAAGUAACAACAAC